rnacentral:rRNA from 1 species
UACGAGGGGUGCGAGCGUUAUUCGGAAUCAUUGGGCGUAAAGGGUGUGUAGACGGUAUGUUAAGUCUGUUGUUAAAUCUUCCGGCCUAACCGGAAAUCAGCAAUGGAUACUGGCGUGCUAGAGGAUGGAAGAGAGAAGUGGAAUUCUCGGAGUAGCGGUAAAAUGCGUAGAUCUCGAGAGGAACACCAAUGGCGAAGGCAGCUUCUUGGUCCAUAUCUGACGUUGAGACACGAAAGCGUGGGGAGCAAACAGG